ACGGCCCCAGAGAGCUCCAGGAGCGUUUGCACAGCGCUGCCAGGGUGGGAUCGUCGGGGCGUCUGUGCAGGGCCAGGGCUUGGACCGGAUGGCCCUUGUGGGGCCCUGCCAGCCCCGGAUGUUCUCUGAACGACGUGAGACUGGGUAAAACGCUUCGUACGUAAGGGUGUACUGGACAUGGUAGAAGCCUUAUUCUGUUCUGGCUGCUCAAGGACACUUAGCAGGAUCUACAGGCAUACCUCAAGGCAUCUCGACUGCAAGAGAGAUUUGUUCUGUUUCAGUGUUUACUCUGUUGAAAGGAACCCUGGAAAAGCAAGCUGUUAUCCAUGAGGAAUCCCUUUACUCUUGAAAGUUGAGCUGUCUUUGAGACCUACUGCAAAGGGUACACAGGACAUUCAGAUCUCUGGAGACAAGGCUGAGCACUACUGAGUGGGGAGUGGCUACUGUGCACAGGCAGCUCUGGCAGGAAAUGAACGUUGGACUGCAGGGAAUGGCCAAGGUGAGACUUGGCCCUGCAGUCCUCUGGGGUCUAUGGGGACUCGCAAAGAUGUGAAAGGGCUGCAGGCCACGGGUGGAGCAGUGCUGACCCAGGCUGUGACCCAGCCAAGGAGUUCUUCCAAUGUCCCUUGAGAGGACACCGCAGGGGUUUUUUCUUAAUAAGGACUUCUGAGAAGGCAAGGUGUGGACUCUUGGUUUCAUGUAAAUAUUUAUUUAAAUUUUUGUCUCUGAAAGCAAAGCAUUUAUCUCCUGACUUCCCUGCUAUUCAAUAUCUACUGAACUGGGUGUGCAUUUUCCUAAGCUAAUAAAAAAUUUCUUGUCCUGUGUGCUCCCCA